CCAGAAGAUGGGCUCGCGUCUGAUUAGCUAGUUGGUGGUGUAAGGGACUACCAAGGCGACGAUCAGUAGCUGGUCUGAGAGGAUGAGCAGCCACACUGGGACUGAGACACGGCCCAGACUCCUACGGGAGGCAGCAGUGGGGAAUUUUCCGCAAUGGGCGAAAGCCUGACGGAGCAAUACCGCGUGAGGGAGGAAGGUCUUUGGAUUGUAAACCUCUUUUCUUAGGGAAGAAGAUCUGACGGUACCUAAGGAAUAAGCAUCGGCUAACUCCGUGCCAGCAGCCGCGGUAAUACGGAGGAUGCAAGCGUUAUCCGGAAUUAUUGGGCGUAAAGCGUCCGUAGGUGGUGAUACAAGUCUGCCUCAGUGUGGUAACUAAGGAAUGUGCAAGCGUAGGGCGAAUCAUGGGACGAAAGCUAGGGUAGCGAAAGGGAUUAGAUAUCCCCCUUUUAGAUCAGGGA
rnacentral:rRNA from 1 species